GUAGCUCUGUAGUAGAGCGGUCGGCUGUCAACUGAUUGGUCGUAAGUUCGAAUCCUACC
rnacentral:tRNA from 1 species